GAACAGAAAGGGAAAUUCUGUUUUUAGCUUUAUUUCUCAAAAUCAAUUUUUUUCCUCCACCGACAGACUCGUUUCUACCCUAAUUUAUCGGAAGAUAAAACAAAAUUUCAUUUUACUAAUUAUUUAAAGGCUCUUCGAUCUUGAUUUUCAUAGACUGCACGAUUCUCGAGGAGGAGAAGAAGCUAAGAAAAGUACAAACUCGCAUUUGCACCGGUUGACUUCAAUUAGUUCGUGUUCUGCACUCUACACGCUCACCAAUGGCGUUCUCUGAGUUUAAUCCCGGUUUGUGGGCAUUGACGAUAUCUCCGAGCUCUUUGCUUCUGAUUCACGCGACCCACUAAUUAACUUUUAACAUAUUUGGUGUAAAUCCAGUGGAUUUUAACAAAGUGAGUUCAGAUUUCCUCAAUGUAUAUGAAAAUUUAUUGGCAUUUGUUGGGUUUGGAUUUGUUCUUAAGAUUAGACUUCGAAAUGAAGUAAAGUAUGUCGGAAAGGGGUUUUGUAAGAAGAUUUAAGUCUUGUGCCCAUAAGGUGUUCGAGAUAUUAUCUGAGAGAACUUGUACUGAUAACUGAUUAGAUUAGCAUUGUGUUUUGUUAGUGGCAGCGGAAUUACUUGGAAGUGAAGGUGAAAUGAUCGAUUAUACGAAGACCCAGCUUCCUAUUUCGUAUACUUACUUCCCUUUUGUUGUCCCAGAAAGAUUUGGGAUGACGCAAGCAUUGUUGGAGGAAUUUUGCUCCCCGUUAUAUGGCAACUUUUUCAUCUAUUUUUAACACGGAGACUGUUUAGUGUUUAGUCGGGAAAUUAUUCUUGGUGGUCUCUUGAUAACAGACUUAGAUUUGAAAUUCUCCUAAUAACUACUCCGUACAAAUGUAGUAGUUCUUACCUUUUUCGACGCAGAACUGUCUGCCAAUCUGGUGAUCUCAUUGAAUAAUUUCUUAUUUCUUGUGUGCAUAUAUUGAUAUGUCACUAUCAAUAGGAUACACAUACUUCUUGUAUAAAAUAUGUAUAUUUCUAUGUCAUUUAUCAAUAGCAAUGAGGUUUCAUACAAAAUGAUAGCAAGGACUUGUUCAAUUCUUCUAAAUCAUUGUUUGCAGGCUAAAUUAAUGGACAGUAAGCUGUGCAAUAUUAUCUGCCGGAUUAAACUUGAUGACAGUGGACAAAAGAGCCAAAGAUUAGAAGGAGAAGGUUGAGGGUACAUUUGGUCUACAAUCCACAUGAGAGUGAUGUGGAUUGACAUCUAGGUUGGAGGAAUGUUCCAAAUUCGGUUCUAUCAGUUGAGCUCUGGCGUAUUGGAAGUAGUUUACCACGAUGUCAAGAUCAUUCAGGAUAAGAUUCCCUGAGCUGUUUAUGUUGGUUAACGGUAUAGAUUGGAAGAACAUUGCCAUUCACUUUUUCCACUGCCAUAUAUCAAUCUUCUUCACGUUUGAUGCUCCCUUCUGGGGUCAGAACCUGCAGUUUGUGCCCUAUGUUUGCUCUGCUCUUUUUGUGGGCUGGAAUCGAUUCAAGAAGGCAGGGAGGCAGCAAUUGAAGGAUUCUAUAAAGACCCACCUCACUUCACAGACAAAUCCCUACUUGGCUAAGCCAAUUUCAUUGGUUCUUUGGCUUCCACUUGCUAGUUUUAUCAAUCCUCACUGUCACUUGUGGGCUGACUGCCGAGGCUAUUGUUAAAUGUAAAAACAAUGACCAACAAACCUGUUUUUUUUUUUUUAUUAUUAUUAUUAAAUUAAAUUAUAAAUUUAGCAUGUAAAUGUGUUUAGUAGGUCUCUAAACUUAAAAAAUGUCCAUAAAUAAUUUAA